UGUCUGUGUGUGUCAGAGGUAGAGAGGAAGAAGGGCUGCACAGAAAUGCUACACGCCACUGUGGAUGUCAAAUCGUUGUCGUUCUAAAAUGCCAUUUAAAAACAAAGACAGUGUAAACAGGGCCUGAGUGUGU